rnacentral:rRNA from 1 species
UACGUAGGGGGCAAGCGUUGUCCGGAAUUAUUGGUCGUAAAGAGCUCGUAGGCGGUCUGUCGCGUCGGUCGUGAAAACUUGGGGCUUAACCCUGAGCUUGCGGUCGAUACGGGCAUGACUGGAGUUCGGUAGGGGAGACUGGAAUUCCUGGUGUAGCGGUGAAAUGCGCAGAUAUCAGGAGGAACACCGGUGGCGAAGGCGGGUCUCUGGGCCGAUACUGACGCUGAGGAGCGAAAGCGUGGGGAGCAAACAGG